rnacentral:rRNA from 1 species
AGUGAACGCUGGCGGUAGGCCUAACACAUGCAAGUCGAACGGCAGCACAGUAAGAGCUUGCUCUUACGGGUGGCGAGUGGCGGACGGGUGAGGAAUACAUCGGAAUCUACUUUUUCGUGGGGGAUAACGUAGGGAAACUUACGCUAAUACCGCAUACGACCUACGGGUGAAAGUAGGGGAUCUUCGGACCUUGCGCGAUUGAAUGAGCCGAUGUCGGAUUAGCUAGUUGGCGGGGUAAAGGCCCACCAAGGCGACGAUCCGUAGCUGGUCUGAGAGGAUGAUCAGCCACACUGGAACUGAGACACGGUCCAGACUCCUACGGGAGGCAGCAGUGGGGAAUAUUGGACAAUGGGCGCAAGCCUGAUCCAGCCAUACCGCGUGGGUGAAGAAGGCCUUCGGGUUGUAAAGCCCUUUUGUUGGGAAAGAAAAGCAGCAGGAUAAUACCCCGCUGUUCUGACGGUACCCAAAGAAUAAGCACCGGCUAACUUCGUG